UCCCUGGAGGACUAGUGGUAGGCCACAGCGCUCUCAGCGCCGAGCCUGGGAUCAAUUCCCGGCUAGGGAA
rnacentral:tRNA from 1 species